ensembl:lncRNA AMZ2P1 AMZ2 pseudogene 1
GCGCGUGAGGGAUGUCGCGGUCUCGUGGUGGAACAUCUGACCCUUUUCAAGAGGAAGGAUGAAAACUCUACAUAGGAACACGAUGUGAAUGGAAGAAACCUGUCAUUAUUGGAUCACCUCCCACCCUGAGGCCCCCCAAGACUUUGAACAGUUCUUCAGUCAUCCUUACAGAAAGAUACCCUCUCCAGACAAACGCAGUAUUUAUAUACGGUCCAUUGGAUCUCUAUGAAGCACCAGAAUUAUCAGUGAAGAAUAUAUUAAAUGGCUCACGGGCUACUGUAAAGCAUAUUUCUAUCGCUUGAGAGUAAAACUGCUAGAACCAGUUCCUGUUUCUACAACAAGGUGUUCCUUUAGAGUCAAUGAGAACACACAAAACCUACAAAUUCAUGCAGGGGACAUCCUGAAGUUCUUGAAAAAGAAGAAACCUGAAGAUGCCUUCUGUGUUGUGGGAAUAACAAUGAUUGAUCUUUACCCAAGAGACUUGUGGAAUUUUGUCUUUGGACAGGCCUCUUUGACAGAUGGCACUGGUGAGGUGGAUUGAUGAUGAAUCUUCUGGCACACCUGGAGCAACUCCAGAACACAGUCGUGAGGAUAAUGGGAAUUUACUGAAACCCGUGGAAGGAAGCCUUUAAGGAAUGGAAAGAGUGGAUAAUAAAAUGCCUGACUGUUCUCCAAAAAUAAGGACCUUCAAAUAGGAGUGAUUGAAAUAAAUGACUACUUGCAUGUUAUGCUUUCAUUUGGGUGGAAUACUUCAUCAGAAUAAACUAUUGAUCUUGUGCUGUGUCAAAGUAACAGACUAGAACCUUCUUUCAAGUACCUGAAUUGAAAUGAAACUCAUUUUGAAUAAUAAAAACUCUAGAAACUCUU